UACAGAGACUGCAAGCGUUAUUCGGAUUCACUGGGCGUAAAGGGUGCGCAGGCGGCCAAGUGUGUUAGGCGUGAAAGCCCGGGGCUUAACCCCCGGAAUUGCACCUAAAACUACAUGGCUAGAGCAUUGGAGAGGGUAGCAGAAUUCAUGGUGUAGCAGUGAAAUGCGUAGAUAUCAUGAGGAAUACCAGAGGCGAAGGCGGCUACCUGGACAAUUGCUGACGCUCAGGCACGAAAGCGUGGGGGAGCAAAAAGGGG
rnacentral:rRNA from 1 species